UUGGCCAGCUCAAGGCUUACCUUCUCUUGGGCUGAGAUGCUGCUGCCAGCUCUAAAACAGCACUCUGUUCUCAAAACCUGGGGGAAUGGAGAAGGCGCAUACACCUUAGAGACUGCAGAUGCAGAGCAGGACAGGCAUUUCUGAUGACAGUCAAUUAAUGACUUUACAAAUUUAAGUCCAUCCUAACAAAAGCCCCUUAAGACCUAAUUAGAGGUAAUUUUUCUAAGUUUUUGUAAAUUAUUGAGGACUACAAAUCUUAAUUAGCUUCUCAGUAGGUUGUAAUUUUUUUUUUUUUUUUGAGAUGGAGUCUCGCUGUUGCCCAGGCUGGAGUGCAGUGGCACGAUUUCGACUCACUACAACCUCCGCCUCCCGGGUUCAAGCGAUUCUCCUGGCUCAGCCCCCAAAGUAGCUGGGAUUACAAGUACACGCCACCACACCCGGCUAAUUUUUGUAUUUUUGGUAGAGAUGGGGUUUCACCAUGUCGGCCAGCCAGGCUGGUCUUGAACUCCUGACCUCAGGUGAUCCACCCACCUUAGCCUCCCAAAGUGCUGGGAUUACAGGCCACUGUGCCCAGCCUCAGGGGAGUUGUAAUCUCCAUUUCAGUCAUAUCAAUUUAAACUUCACAAAGCUAAGAUUACUUUUCCUUUUCACAUCUGAGGAAAACUACAUCUCAGCAGACAGGUAAUUUGCCCGAGACUAAACAGCCAAGAGGUAAAUAGAGUAGCCCCUCUUUCUAGGUAAUCCACCCUGGCUCCACUGCCACCGGAAACUAAAAUCAGUAUCUCUGGGAUAGGCUACACUGUUACAAGGUAUUAGGUUAACCAAAUCCAAUUGCCAAUAUUCGACCUGACAGCUAGGCGUGGUCAGCCACUAGCCUCCCCAUAGAGCAAGGCUUACCUCAUGGCAGGCUCCUGGCUCCAAUACUCAGCUGCCAAACAUGAUGCUGAUUCUUCACGAAUUUGCAACCUAGGUGAAUAUAGCAAUUAGGUCACCGUUCAAACAAGUUUACUCCUGGGAACCAGCAAGUGGUGAAGACUUGACUGCAAUCAGACAGGAGUAGUCUUCGUCAGUUAUCGCUUCUGACGGCACUUCCUAUUAGUGAUUUCAUCAGAGCAGUCAAGCACCUCACAACCCUCCAGUACUGUUCCAACCGCAGAUCUAGACCCUACCUGAAACUUAAGCUAACCCUGCUACUGGAGACAUUUCUUAACGAAGGAGUUUGUUUCUGCAUUAUCAGUUUGCUUUAAAUGCAG
rnacentral:lncRNA from 10 species